ensembl:lncRNA
GUGAAUUGUUUUGGUAACAGUAUUAACCACCCACCCACCAGUGAGCAGGUCCCACCUCUGAUGCAGGUCAAGAAAGUGUCUUCAUUGUUUGUCCUGACCUAGAAGCUUCUCUCUCUCUAAUUUCAGAGUCCUUAGCCCUGUUCCCAAGACUUCAAUGACCAAACUGCCAAAGGGCCAAGGAGUAUCUUGUAGCUUUGCCCGGGGGUAGGAGGAGUGCCCCCACAUGGUGUCACAACAGUGCCUGAGUGACUUGGGCAGAAUCCAGGGACCAAGGAGUCUGUUUCCACAGCACAGCUUCUCCUUUUCUAGAAGAACAGCAGGAACCUUUCCAGUCAUAGCCAGGAGGCAAUCAGAGCUAACAGUGUCCUGGGGCAACCAGGAGGCAGUGCCAGAUGCCUGGAACCCAGAGGAGUGUCAGCUUCUACUGAAAAGGAACUGUACCAUCUUCACUAUUGACUUUUAUGAGACUGGCAGACAGGAGCAAUGGCCUUGCAGAUGGAGAUCCAAGCCCCAGUGGGAUGCGGAAGCUGAGCUGCCAUGGAUGCUCUGACCACAGGUUCAUCAUCUCUGGACCAGAAGCUUACACGAGUCCAGGAUAAUAAGGCCCAUCAGGGCUUCUAAAUUCUAAUUUGCAAGGACUUAAAAAACAGGACUCCUGUGCAAAUACACAGUGAGUGUGAAAGCAUUUGCUCGGCUCCUGCAUUGACGAGUCAGCCACUCAGAGGCUGUAAAUGGACUAGUGCUGUGAGUGACUUGAAGAAGGAUAUUUAUAUGGGAGCCUGAAGCUCUUGUUUUGCUUUUCGAUGAAAAGCUUGUCAACUUUCAACUGAUGAGGAGGAGCACAAAUUGGGAAGUCUUUGAAGGAAGGAGAAACACAGGUUGAGUUCCUGGCUGCCCGUUGAGUGGAUCAGGACAGUUAGCAGCUUUUGAACUGAGUGAUGGCCUUGAGACUCUCUUCUCACUUACUUGUAACCUCUUCUGUGCCAAGUGAAGUGUGGUGAUGGGCAGAAUGCUCUCACACUGUAUAACUCGGGUUUACUGAUGCUACCACCGCCUUUGCCGGAUGUUAAAGGUAUAUUAAUUGAUUAUUAACGAUGAAUUCCCCCGUUUGUUUUAGUUCGAUUACUAUCACCUGAGAUAAGAACGGUCUCUAAGGAUCAAGGGUUUACUUGAAGUAGUUACUCACUGGAGGGUAGGCUCCCAGCACAAAGCACAACUGUACCCCACAGGGCUCCCAUGGAACCACUGGCUAAGUUUCCUAACCUCUCCGCAGCUUUAAGUACAGACCCAGCAGUCUUUAUUUUGCUUUGCCUAGCUCUUCCUUCCUUCCUUCCUUUACCUUGGCCCUUGAGUUAGGGUUUGGCCUGGUGGAUCAGACACAGAUCACACCUGAAGUACAAGACGAAUGUUCUAUUGCCUUUUGGUGAUUAAACCAGUCAUGUUAUUGUUGGCAGCCUAGCCCAGAGGUAAGGCAGAGAAAAGCAAGAGGAACAGGAAAUCAUUCUGUAAAAUAUUUACAGGAAAACGUUGGCUUGCUUGAAGUGAUUCACUGGCCUGCUUUCCCUCUGUCUUUUUGCCUUCUCUAAUAACUUCCCUCUCGCUGGCUCCCUGUUACACAAGUUUUAGUCUUAAAAGGAGUACUGGGAAGUAAAAUUUUCUUAAUCUGAAGAUAUGAUGCCAUGUUUUGAGUCACACACACACAAAAAACCCCACCAUUUUAAUUAUUAGAAAUAUUCGGUUUUGCUACAAUCAGUCACACGUGUCCCCAACAGCUCCACUCUGUUCCAGCACUAUGCCUUCCAGCUCCAUCUCAUCUGAGGAGCCUGGAUUCUAUGGUCCUGUCCCACAGCUGCUUUGAAAUCUAGAUGAGCAGGUAGUUCUUUAUCCCUAGGGCGGGCUCAAAAUAGUUGAUCCAGGCACUUCAGAAUGUGUGUCCUUCUUAAAUCCCAAGUAAGUGGAAAAAAAAAAAAAAGCCCGCUCCAGAGUACACAGAGCAAAGGACUCCAGGCUGAGCUACUACAGCUGUGCUAGCCCCCUUUGUCAGCUUCACCAUGGAGACCACUAGCCUUCUUUGAAGACCCUUAGAGCAGCAGUGCCUAGGGAAUGUAUAGAGUGACAUUGUUCCUUUCAGAACACCCUCACUCAUGGUAGAAAUGGGCAGGUUAACCAGGAUGAUUAUUCACAAGUAUGUUUUUAGUUUUAGUGAUUGCAAUAUUUAAAACCAAGGAGAGGACUAUUGAAUAGUGAUUUUUUAUAAAUGUGUUCUGGAAAAACUAUAUAAUACUUUCUUGCUUUUGUAGUUCAUGCUGACCUUGAGUAGCCUUGUCUUCUUGGUGCUUACACUUAUGGACAUAUACCACUGUGUCUGCAUGCUGCCUCCUCUCUUCGUAUGGUACUAGAACCUGAGCUUCACACGUCAAGCACAUGUUGUUCUAUUGAGUUAUCAUACCCCCCCAUCACCCAGUGCUUCAUUUAUAAAACCAUAUGACCCUUAUUACAUUUUAAAACUUUAAAUUAUGUGGAUCGGUGUGUAUGUGUACCUGAGUGCAGUUACCAGAGGAGACCAGAAGGUGGCGAUAUAGGAGACCUAGAGCUGGGGUUACAAGCUGUUGUGAGGCACCUACAUGCUACUGAGAACUAAAUUUGUGUCCUCUGCAAGAGCAGUAGGAAAUUGUAACUGCUGAGCUGUCUCUUUGGCUUAAGGCUACCCAGGAUAUAUCUUACUGUUGGGUUUUGUGCUUAUUCAUUUGUUCAUGUUAAACAUAGGAAAUGGUUCAGGCAAAAUAGGGGUUAGGAAAGAAUAUGAAAAUUUAAGGAACAGUUGAAGCAUUGUGUCCUAAGCAAUAUGAAGGUAGAUGGGCAGUAGCCACUUCCUCUGGUUUGAACCAGCCCUUCCUGCAAGGAGUAGGGACGUUGGUAAGAUUCAGAAAUCCAAAGAACAGGACGCUCAGCAAAGCUCAGAAAGUUGAAAGACUCACAAGGCCCCAGGGUAGCAUUACACAAUUGCUCCAGUCUUCCGUGGAGCAGCUUGCAAGCUGUGUAUCGAGCUCCAGCAACCAGCCUUUUGUUUUUGUUUUUUCCAGACAACAGGGCUUCUCUGUGUAGUUCUGGCUAUCCCUAAACUCAUUCUGUAGACCAGGCUGGCCUCAAACUUUUGCCUCUGCCUCCCAAGUGCUGGGACUAAAGGCUUGCACCACCACCUAGCUACAAUGUAGCUCUUUCAUGAACUUUCACCCCUGGCGGGAUAGACUUUUCCAUUGAUGUAGCCACCUUUGUGUUAAUGGUACUCUUGGAAGGAGCCCCUUACUCACAUUCCUAUACAUAAUUCCCCAAAACUAUUAGUUCGCCAAGUUAGAAGUUGUGUAGGUCACUUGCUGUAUUACUGACUCAUUAAAUGGAAAUGGCGCACAAAAAAAAAUGCAUCUGUGGUUUAGUGUCAAUGGAUGCACUGAAUAGCCAUUUGCUCUCUCCCCAGGGGGGGGAAAAAUCACACAACAAUGGACAUCCAUUUCAAUUCAAUAUGGCAC